GAUGAACGCUGGCGGCGUGCUUAACACAUGCAAGUCGAACGAUGAAGCCCAGCUUGCUGGGUGGAUUAGUGGCGAACGGGUGAGUAACACGUGAGUAACCUGCCCUUAACUCUGGGAUAAGCCUGGGAAACUGGGUCUAAUACCGGAUAGGAGCGUCCACCGCAUGGUGGGUGUUGGAAAGAUUUAUCGGUUUUGGAUGGACUCGCGGCCUAUCAGCUUGUUGGUGAGGUAAUGGCUCACCAAGGCGACGACGGGUAGCCGGCCUGAGAGGGUAACCGGCCACACUGGGACUGAGACACGGCCCGGACUCCUACGGGAGGCAGCAGUGGGGAAUAUUGCACAAUGGGCGCAAGCCUGAUGCAGCGACGCCGCGUGAGGGAUGACGGCCUUCGGGUUGUAAACCUCUUUCAGUAGGGAAGAAGCGAAAGUGACGGUACCUGCAGAAGAAGCACCGGCUAACUACGUG
rnacentral:rRNA from 1 species